rnacentral:misc_RNA from 1 species
GAUGAAGAACGCAGCGAAAUGCGAUAAGUAAUGUGAAUUGCAGAAUUCAGUGAAUCAUCGAAUCUUUGAACGCACAUUGCGCCCGCUAGUAUUCUGGCGGGCAUGCCUGUUCGAGCGUCAUUUCAACCAUCAAGCCCUUUAGCUUGUGUUGGGGACCUGCGGCUGCCGCAGCCCCCGAAAUGCAGUGGCGGGCUCGUUGUCACACCGAGUGCAGUAAUCAUUCUUCUCUCCGGGCGUGGCGGCGGGUUCCGGCCGUAUAAUCACCAAUUUAUCAAGGUUGACCUCGGAUCAGGUAGGAAUACCCGCUGAACUUAAGCAUAUCAAUAAGCGGAGGA